rnacentral:rRNA from 1 species
UACGUAGGUGGCAAGCGUUGUCCGGAUUUACUGGGCGUAAAGAGCGCGCAGGCGGUCAGAUAAGUCGAAUGUGAAAGCCCCCGGCUCAACUGGGGAGGGUCAUUCGAUACUGUUCGACUCGAAGGCAGGAGAGGGAAGCGGAAUUCCCGGUGUAGUGGUGAAAUGCGUAGAUAUUGAGAGGAACACCUGCGGCGAAGGCGGGUCUCUGGGCCGAUACUGACGCUGAGGAGCGAAAGCGUGGGGAGCGAACAGG